rnacentral:rRNA from 1 species
GUCUAUGGCCAUGGCACCCUGGACGCGCCCGAUCUCGUCUGACCUCGGAACUAGGCAAGGUCGGGCCUGGUUAGUACUUGGAUGGGAGACCACCUGGGAAUACCAGGUGCUGUAGGCU